GUUGGAGGUGAAGGUUUAGAAGGUCUUCACACGCCGUUAAAAUAUUCAUAUCGUGUUUUAUAACUAGAAGCAGGUUUACACCAUACCUGUCAAGUUUUAGAUUUAAAAAUAAGGGAUAUUUUCCUCUGUCCUCUUAAAGUCGCCCCACCAGCCCAACGAAGGUUCAGUAUCUCUUACAUUUUAAAACAGGUUUACAAAAAAUCUAAAAUAACCACAUGUGAACCACUUACACACUACAAUUAGAUUAUCAGAAUCUGAACAUGUUGUGGACAUUCCUACAUAUGUCAUUCUUUUAAUACAGCCAAAUUAAAAACCCUUUUCUAUA